GACAGAGGUGGCAAGCGUUGUUCGGAAUCAUUGGGCUUAAAGCGCGUGUAGGCGGCGGCGUAAGUGUCGAGUGAAAUCCUUCGGCUCAACCGAAGUACGGCUCGGCAUACUGCGUCGCUUGAGGUCGGUAGAGGUGCCUGGAACUCUAGGUGGAGCGGUGAAAUGCGUAGAUAUCUAGAGGAACGCCUGAGGCGAAAGCGGGGCACUGGGCCGAUUCUGACGCUGAGACGCGAAAGCGUGGGGAGCAAACAGG
rnacentral:rRNA from 1 species